UUCUGGCUCAGGAUGAACGCUAGCUACAGGCUUAACACAUGCAAGUCGAGGGGCAGCAUGAUCGAAGCUUGCUUGAUGAUGGCGACCGGCGCACGGGUGAGUAACGCGUAUCCAACCUUCCCUAUAGUAGAGGAUAGCCCGGCGAAAGUCGGAUUAAUACUCUAUGUUUUCCAAUGCAGACAUCUAAAAUGGAACAAAGGUUUACCGCUAUAGGAUGGGGAUGCGUCUGAUUAGGUUGUUGGCGGGGUAACGGCCCACCAAGCCUACGAUCAGUAGGGGUUCUGAGAGGAAGGUCCCCCACAUUGGAACUGAGACACGGUCCAAACUCCUACGGGAGGCAGCAGUGAGGAAUAUUGGUCAAUGGGCGAGAGCCUGAACCAGCCAAGUAGCCGUGCAGGAUGACGGCCCUAUGGGUUGUAAACUGCUUUUAUAUAGGGAUAAAGUGACCCACGUGUGGGUUUUUGUAGGUACUAUAUGAAUAAGGACCGGCUAAUUCCGUGCCAGCAGCCGC
rnacentral:rRNA from 1 species